rnacentral:rRNA from 1 species
AUUGAACGCUGGCGGCAUGCCUUACACAUGCAAGUCGAACGGCAGCACGGGUGCUUGCACCUGGUGGCGAGUGGCGAACGGGUGAGUAAUACAUCGGAACGUACCUUAUCGUGGGGGAUAACGCAGCGAAAGCUGUGCUAAUACCGCAUACGCCCUGAGGGGAAAGCGGGGGAUCGAAAGACCUCGCGCGAUUAGAGCGGCCGAUGCCUGAUUAGCUUGUUGGUGGGGUAAAAGCCCACCAAGGCGACGAUCAGUAGCUGGUCUGAGAGGACGAUCAGCCACACUGGGACUGAGACACGGCCCAGACUCCUACGGGAGGCAGCAGUGGGGAAUUUUGGACAAUGGGGGCAACCCUGAUCCAGCAAUGCCGCGUGAGUGAAGAAGGCCUUCGGGUUGUAAAGCUCUUUUGUCAGGGAAGAAACACCGGCUCUAACACAGUCCGGGAAUGACGGUACCUGAAGAAUAAGCACCGGCUAACUACGUGCCAGCAGCCGCUGUAA